rnacentral:rRNA from 1 species
AGGGAGUUUGAUCCUGGCUCAGAACGAACGCUGGUAGCGUGGAUUAGGCAUGCAAGUCGAACGGGAUCCAUGAAGUAGCAAUACGGAUUGGUGAGAGUGGCGGAAGGGCGAGGAACACGUGGGCAACCUGUCUUUGAGGUGGGGAAAACCUCGGGAAACUGAGGCUAAUACCGAAUGUGGCGCGGAAGGGCAUCCUUCCUGCGCUAAAGGGGGCGAAAGCUCCCCCUCUUCGAGGGGCUCGCGCACCAUCAGCUAGUUGGCGGGGUAACGGCCCACCAAGGCUCACGGUUAGCUGGUCUGAGAGGAUGGCCAGCCGCACUGGGACUGAGAUACUGCCCAGACUCCUACGGGAGGCUGCAGUCGAGGAUCAUUCGCAAUGGGCGAAAGCCUGACGAUGCGACGCUGCGUGGAGGAUGAAGGCCUUCGGGUUGUAAACUCCUGUCAUGAGGGAAAAGGAGAGGAUACCCAAUACGUAUCCGAUUUGAUGGUACCUCAAGAGGAAGGGACGGCUAACUCUGUGCCAGCAGCCGCGGUAAUACAGAGGUCCCGAGCGUUGUUCGGAUUUACUGGGCGUAAAGGGCGCGUAGGCGGCGCUGCGUGUCGGAUGUGAAAGCUCCGGGCUCAACCCGGAAAGUGCGUCCGAAACUGCAGCGCUGGAGUCCGGGAGAGGUGGCCGGAAUGCAGGGUGUAGCGGUGAAAUGCGUUGAUAUCCUGCAGAACACCGGAGGCGAAGGCGGGCCACUGGAACGGUACUGACGCUGAGGCGCGAAAGUCGGGGGAGCAAACAGGAUUAGAUACCCUGGUAGUCCCCU